rnacentral:rRNA from 1 species
CCAAUAGCGUAUAUUAAAGUUGUUGCAGUUAAAAAGCUCGUAGUUGAAUUUCGGGAUUAGUACGCUGGUCGUGCCUUCGGUAUGUACUGGUGUUACUGGUUCCUACCUUCUGACGAAUCGUCAUGUCAUUAAUUUGGUGUGGCGGGGAAUCAGGACUGUUACUUUGAAAAAAUUAGAGUGUUUAAAGCAGGCUCGCGCUUGAAUACAUUAGCAUGGAAUAAUGACAUAGGACGUUCGAUCCUAUUUUGUUGGUUUCUAGGAUUGACGUAAUGAUUAAUAGGGAUAGUUGGGGGCAUUAGUAUUCAAUUGUCAGAGGUGAAAUUCUUGGAUUUAUUGAAGACUAACUACUGCGAAAGCAUUUGCCAAGGAUGUUUUCAUUAAUCAAGAACGAAAGUUAGGGGAUCGAAGACGAUCAGAUACCGUCGUAGUCUUAACCAUAAACUAUGCCGACUAGGGAUCGGAUGAUGUUAUUUUUAAUGACUCAUUCGGCGCCUUACG